GAGGAAUAUUGGUCAAUGGACGAGAGUCUGAACCAGCCAAGUAGCGUGAAGGAUGACUGCCCUAUGGGUUGUAAACUUCUUUUAUACGGGAAUAAAGUUAGCCACGUGUGGCUUUUUGUAUGUACCGUAUGAAUAAGGAUCGGCUAACUCCGUGCCAGCAGCCGCGGUAAUACGGAGGAUCCGAGCGUUAUCCGGAUUUAUUGGGUUUAAAGGGAGCGUAGGCGGGUUGUUAAGUCAGUUGUGAAAGUUUGCGGCUCAACCGUAAAAUUGCAGUUGAUACUGGCGACCUUGAGUGCAACAGAGGUAGGCGGAAUUCGUGGUGUAGCGGUGAAAUGCUUAGAUAUCACGAAGAACUCCGAUUGCGAAGGCAGCUUACUGGAUUGUAACUGACGCUGAUGCUCGAAAGUGUGGGUAUCAAACAGGAUUAGAUACCCUGGUAGUCCACACAGUAAACGAUGAAUACUCGCUGUUGGCGAUAUACGGUCAGCGGCCAAGCGAAAGCAUUAAGUAUUCCACCUGGGGAGUACGCCGGCAACGGUGAAACUCAAAGGAAUUGGCGGGGGCCCGCACAAGCGGAGGAACAUGUGGUUUAAUUCGAUGAUACGCGAGGAACCUUACCCGGGCUUAAAUUGCAACUGACUGAACCGGAAACGGUUCCUUCUUCGGACAGUUGUGAAGGUGCUGCAUGGUUGUCGUCAGCUCGUGCCGUGAGGUGUCGGCUUAAGUGCCAUAACGAGCGCAACCCUUAUCGAUAGUUACUAGCAGGUCAUGCUGAGGACUCUAUUGAGACUGCCGUCGUAAGAUGUGAGGAAGGUGGGGAUGACGUCAAAUCAGCACGGCCCUUACGUCCGGGGCUACACACGUGUUACAAUGGGGGGUACAGAAGGCAGCUACACGGCGACGUGGUGCUAAUCCCGAAAGCCUCUCUCAGUUCGGAUUGGAGUCUGCAACCCGACUCCAUGAAGCUGGAUUCGCUAGUAAUCGCGCAUCAGCCACGGCGCGGUGAAUACGUUCCCG
rnacentral:rRNA from 1 species